rnacentral:rRNA from 1 species
AUUGAACGCUGGCGGCAGGCCUAACACAUGCAAGUCGAACGAGUGGCGGACGGGUGAGUAAUGUCUGGGCAACUGCCUGAUGGAUGGGGAUAACUACUGGAAACGGUAGAUAAUACCGCAUACCAUCGGAUGUGCCCAGAUGGGAUUAGCUAGUGGGUGGGGUAAAGGCUCACCUAGGCGACGAUCCCUAGCUGGUCUGAGAGGAUGACCAGCCACACUGGAACUGAGACACGGUCCAGACUCCUACGGGAGGCAGCAGUGGGGAAUAUUGCACAAUGGGCGCAAGCCUGAUGCAGCCAUGCCGCGUGUAUGAAGAAGGCCUUCGGGUUGUAAAGUACUUUCAGCAGGGAGGCGUUACCCACAGAGGAAGCACCGGCUAACUCCGUGCCAGCAGCCGCGGUAAUUC